UAUAAAUGAGUGUCUAAUAGUGUUUUAAAUGUGUGCAUUCUUUAUUUUAGCAUUUUGGUGCAUUUUCUUUAAAAAUUAAAAAUUCUGUCUAAAAACCACAGUAAUGCGCCACCUUCAGCUGAAAACAUAGAAUUUGAGUCAUUUUGAAUAAAUUUUAGCCAAUGGCUAAAGAGUAAAGUACUACGUAAACCAGUAGAGUACUACGUAGCAGCUCCGUGCCAAAGUUAUAAAAGCAACGAGCCUCUCGGCCACGCCCUGUGGCGAGUGGGAGUUGGAUUUGCAAGCGAGCGUAGGAGGUCAGCGGUAGUUCAGCAUUAGCAUAUAGCAUUAGCAUAUCCUAGUCUUUAGCAUAUAUUUUAGUGUUAUAAAUACUUAUUUAGUGUUAGCUUGGCUGUUGGAUAUUGUAGUUUAGUUAGUGUUUGGCUGUUAGUGUAAUUGGGAAAGUAUUUCGGGUUUAGUGUUCCAUAUCGUCUUAGUAUUGGUGAGUAGGUGUAGUGUAGUAUGCUUGCGGUGACUCUGUGGGCAUUUUACCCGCGAUUCUGCACGCCUCCGUUUGAAGAGGGAGGCUGCCCACCGUGGCUCUUCCGCGAUUUAGAUGCAGCCCACCGACUCUGCUCCCCCACCACGGCGGGCUCCAGUCUGAGGCUAAAUCUACCCAAGACACUGGCUGUCAGACUGAUUUAGCUGCAAGAAUGCACUUGUCCAGGCUGACGUGAAACCUUCCCUGUAGCAAAGCCAGCCAGAAUGGAGUUUACAGCCGCAGUGUGUCUGGUGACCCACCGGGAUCAUGACGGAAAUUCAUCUUCCAGAAGG